AUGAAAAGAGGGAUAAGAGAUUAAAUUAGGGUUCAUGUUACGACCAUUCAACUCUCUUCAAAGGAAAGCUCUCCCUCUCUUUCACGACGGCGGCGUGGCCACCAUGUUCAUCCUCUUCUCCAUCUCUCAGUGCGACGGCGCGACAUCUGAGGAGGAGUCUCCUCCGAGUGGAACCUCACUCUCCGUUUCACUCUCACUAAUUCCUUAAAUCUAGGCUUGAACAUACCAAACCCUAGCUACAGAAUCACCAAUUAAUUGGUCGAAACGCGAGGAUCCGCACGAUUGAUGGAAGAGGAAGGUUCAGCAAGAAACACGUAACAUCAAGGUGCAGAGAUUUAAUCGAUGAAGAUGAGGUUUUAGGCUUACCUACCGGAGCAGUUCCGGUGACUCUUCAGACGGCGCGAAUGGACAGAAAAUACCAGAGGCCAACUCCUUCUCUUCAGUCUGAUGAAGAUUGAUGGUUGAAGACGAUAGAUGAAGUUUGAGGUUGAAGGUUGGCAGCACGGAAAUACAGAGAAGAUAUUGGGUAUCGUAGAGAUCUUGAAGAUGUUUGAAGAUGCUUCUGAACAAUGGAGAUUGAAGAUAACACCUCUGGUUCUAUCAAUUGGUGAAUUGAAGGUUAAGAGAUGAAGUUAAGAGUUGAGAAAAGGUGGUGAAUUGAGAGAGUGGAGGAGAUGGAAGAUGAGGAGAAUGGUGGAGAGUCAAGUGAAGGUGGUGUCGAGAGAGGUUAAGGGAGAGUGAAAAAAUGAAGAGAGGAAUCUGAAGAAUGGAUCAAUGUUCAGUUAUAUAGAGAUCCAAGGGCUGGCCCGAAGAAGUAAUGAUGAUGAUUGGUUCUGAAGACUUCGAAAGUGCGGAAGAAGCUGAGCAUAAGACACUCUUUUGUUUCCUUUUGAGUGGAUGCAGAGUGAUGGUGGAUAUUUGAUGAGCUCUUAACACAUAAUGAAGGCCAAGCACAAUUCAAAGACAUUGGAAGUUUAAAGCUUGCUCAAUGGAACUUAGGAACUUAGAGAUUUUAUACUUAGCAAUAAGUUUAUGAUGUCUCUUUUUCUUUUCUUGUUCCAUGUUCCAAAAGUGUAAAAAAGAGGAUAUUGGUAAUGGUUUGUAAGAUGAACAAAGUAUUAGAAAUAUUUGUGAGGUUCUUUUGUAGUUUCUCAACUCUGUUCUUGCAAUGCCUUGUAAUUAAACCUCUUGAAUUUUGUAUUUAUGGAUUUUGACUCUUUUAAGAUGUGAUUGUUGACUUGUAGUCUGAGUACUUGAAUGAAAUUUCCCACCAUUUAUGACUAUUGAAUUUCCGAGUCCUUCUCCCUUUAUCUUCAAUUUAUAAGCUUAGGUAAACCAUAAUGUAAAUUUAAAUCCACCAACAGAUUGAGGUGACAAGGAGUCAACCCUUACUCAACUGAAUAUUUCGCAAUACUUCUUCUACGGCCCUUCAAUAAAAGUCCAAGCAAAUAAUAAUUAAACCCCAUAUAACUUGUAACAUGAGCAAUCCCAACACAAUUAAAUAAGGAUCACUACAUGUGACAUCUCGAUU